rnacentral:lncRNA from 1 species
CAUGAAAAGACAUGGAAGAAUGUUAAAUACAUGUUACUAAAUGAAAGAAGCCAAUCUGAAAAGCCUACAUAGUAUAUGAUUCCAACGAUAUGGCAUUCUGGAAAAGGCAAAGCUAUGGGAAAGUGAAAAGAUCAAUGGCUGCUGAGGUUGAGUGAGUGGGGCUGAAUGAAUAGGCUGGGUACAGAGUAUAUUUCUUUUCUUUUAAUUGUAUCUAUACAAGAUGAUUGAUAUUAACUAAACUUACAGCAGUAAUUAUUUCACAAUAGAUGUAAAUCAAACCAUCACGCUAUGUACCUUAAACUUAUACAGCGAUAUAUGCCAAUUUCUCAAUGAACCUGGAAAAAAAAUAGAUGGAGACUUUAUUUUUGCUUUAAGUGACAGAGGAAAGAGAUUGUAUCUAAGCCAUUCACAGAUUUUUUAAUGCAGUUUUUCUUACCUAAAUUCAAGCUGGUCACAAUCCCAAGCAAUUAAAGAAGACUUUGAUUCGAGGCUUUACAACAUCUUUCAAUACCUUUACAAUGAAUAAAUUAUCUUGACCAUCUAAUCUUAAACAUUCCAUUUUAAUAAUUUUUCUCCCAUCUUAUUUCAUUUUUCUCGAGAAUUAAAGGAAGUCAACUUUUAUAAACAAAAAUAAUGAACAAGUGAUUGUUUAUUAUCCCUACGUGAAAAUAUUCGUGCUAGGUUUUCCUGUUUUCUUCUGAACGGUGACCUCUGAAAUGAAAACAACUGACGGAAAAACAAAAGUAAAAGUCUUGCCUCAGACCUGGCUCAGGGCCAGAGGAUCCCAUCUUCCCAUCUUUUCAUCAAGUUGGUAGUAAGGGUUCAGAAAAAGACAGUUUCCAGCUGGGAUGGGACACUGGUGUCCUUAUCUGACAGAAGAGAUAUCUAUUACAUGACUGGUUCUAUUCCCUGCUCAACUACUUACGUGUAGUGAGGCCAUAGAUAAAUUACUUUAUCUGUCUCUGCUUUUUUUUUUUCUUCUGUAUCUGUAAUCUGAAGAUAAUAGAAUUAUACUGCCUCCUUAUACACUUUAGUGACACACUUGUGAAGGUAAAUUGAGUCUGAAUUGUAAUGUGUCUGCAAAGUCCCAAGAGCUCUGGGAAUAAAGGCUAUGUAUAAAUAAAAAUGUAUUACAAAUGCUUGAAUAUUAAUAAAGGCUUUUAUAUUUUACCCUUAUGGCACUCUAGAAAAUCAUAAAUGUUAAAUAUCAAAUGGAUCUUACCCCCACCCCAAAUGAUACUUCCCAAAGUCUCUAAGUUAGUCCCUAGGGAAUAACCAUAAAGGAGAUAAAAUCUGUCUGUGCCCUCGGGUUCGACAUCUCAGGAUGAUGCAUUUAUGCUACCACUGCAAAUGGAUUUAGGGUUUUCAUGGGCUUUCUGCCUCCGUUAAAAGACGCUCUCAGCCAAGGAUUUCAUAAAUGUGUCCACUGAGGUAGAAGAGACUGACAGACCGAAUGUGUUAUCUUUCAGUAUUUUUAAAUUUCUAAAAUAGUACACAGUCUUUGGCCAGAUGGAUUAAUCUGAAAUGGGAUUUUAAGAUUUCAAUUUGAGUAUCAGUUGGGAGGCUCUACCUUGUUUGUUUUCUGAUAGUGGUAGGGGUCAAGGAAGGGAGGAAAUAGCAAGCUG